rnacentral:tRNA from 1 species
GGUGUUGUGGCUCAGUGGUAGAGUGCUCACCUAGCAUGUGCGAGGCCCUGGGUUUGAUCCUCAGCACCACAU